GGGGUGCCGUGAUGGGCCACAAAGGUGGGAAAUGGACUGGAGCAUCUUUCACAGGAGGACAGGCUGAGAGAGCUGGGGCUCUUCAGCCUGGAGAAGAGAUGACUCAGGGGGAUCUUACCAGUGUGUACCUGCU